UACGUAGGGGGCAAGCGUUGUCCGGAUUUAUUGGGCGUAAAGAGCGUGUAGGCGGCUUUACAGGUCCGUUGUGAAAACUCGAGGCUCAACCUCGAGACGCCGGUGGAAACCGUAAAGCUAGAGUCCGGAAGAGGAGAGUGGAAUUCCUGGUGUAGCGGUGAAAUGCGUAGAUAUCAGGAGGAACACCUGCGGUGUAGACGGCUUUCUGGACCAUUGUUGACGCUGAGACGCGAAAGCGUGGGGAGCGAACAGG
rnacentral:rRNA from 1 species